GCCAGGAAUCUUGGGCAAUGGGCGAAAGCCUGACCCAGCAACACCGUGUGGGCGAUGAAGGCUCUAGGGUCGUAAAGCCCUGUUGAUAGGGACGAAGGGCGAAGGGUUAAUAGCCCCUAGCUUGACGGUACCUUUCGAGGAAGCCCCGGCUAACUACGUGCCAGCAGCCGCGGUAAUACGUAGGGGGCGAGCGUUGUCCGGAAUUAUUGGGCGUAAAGAGCGUGUAGGCGGUUCGGUAAGUCUGCUGUGAAAUCUUGGGGCUCAACCCUGAGCGUGCAGCGGAUACUGCCGGGCUAGAGGGUGGUAGAGGCGAGUGGAAUUCCGAGUGUAGCGGUGAAAUGCGCAGAUAUUCGGAGGAACACCAGUAGCGAAGGCGGCUCGCUGGGCCACACCUGACGCUGAGACGCGAAAGCGUGGGGAGCGAACAGGAUUAGAAACCCCAGUAGUCC
rnacentral:rRNA from 1 species